rnacentral:rRNA from 1 species
GACGAACGCUGGCGGCGUGCCUAAUACAUGCAAGUCGAACGCAGUGGGGACGGGUGAGUAACACGUGGGUAACCUCCCAUCAGAGGGGAUAACACUUGGAAACAGGUGCUAAACCGAUACUGAUGGAUGGACCCGCGGUGCAUUAGCUAGUUGGUGAGGUAACGGCUCACCAAGGCCACGAUGCAUAGCCCAACGUGGAGGGGUGUCGGCCAAGCUGGGACUGAGACCCGGCCCAAGCUCCUACGGGAGGCAGGAGUAGGGAAUUUUCGGCAAUGGGCGAAAGUCUGAACCAGAAAAGCCGCGUGGAGGAAGAAGGGUUUCGGAUCGGAAAACUCUGUUGGUAAGGGAGCGGUAUCUAACCAGAAAGCCACGGCUAACUACGUGCCAGCAGCCGCGGUAAUAC